rnacentral:lncRNA from 1 species
CAGACUUUUGCUACCUUACGCUAUUAUUCCCCCUUUCGUUCCGAAAUUAGGGCCUCUGGGUUUCGCAGUGCGCUCAUUCAAUCCUAGGUAUCAAAAAUCUGUUGAAUUUGAUGAUUCAGAUUGAAAUUUAGUGUCUCUCGAGCUCGGAUUUACGAUUUUAUAUUGGUUCGAUGCAUCUGCGGUGAUGGUUUCCUUAGCUUUGGUCUUUCCGAUUAAUUGCUUCCUUGUUUCUGAAUUAGCUGAGUGGCGUUUGACUGAAGAUUUACUCUUCUUUGGGGUGUUUUUUUUCUUAUGGGUCUUGAGUUAGUGAAGUGUUAUGUUCUUGUUGUAUAGUUUCUUACAGGUUAUGCUCAAAAUUUGUGGGUUCUUUGUCCCUUUUUUUCACUUUGUAGUUUGAAAAUGUCUCGGUAUGAUGAUCGCUAUGGGAACACUCGUCUUUAUGUUGGCCGGUUAUCAUCCAGAACUCGUACCCGAGCCCUUUAACGUCUAUUUAGCAGAUAUUGAAGGUAAUGAGUCUUCUUUUCUUUCAUCGGAUAAGCAAGAAGCUUUGUAUGGAAAAAAAAAAAAAAAAAUUAGUGAAUUUGCUUUUAUUUCUCUUAUUAUUUUUCUCUCUUAUUAUUUUUCUCUCUCUUAGAAACUAAAACCAAUGUGCACGUGAUGAUCAUGUUAUUGUGAUAUGUAGUAUGCUUCUUGUUGUUACAGUUGUAGACUAAUGUACUUGUAAGUAAUUUGUAUAUGUAUAUGUAAUGUUUUUAGAGUGUGAAAAAUAAAUGUUGCCUUCGAAAAGAUUUUGUUCUGAUUUUAGUUGAUUUUAUCUAAUGUCUCUGCUAAAUUAUAUCCCAUUAUGCAAGAUGGAUCAGAGUAUUGAAGUAGUCGUAUCAUUUGGUAAGUUUUUAAUGAUUUCAAACAUCUCAUUACAUUGGGUUUUGAGCUCACAUCUCAAAACUUUGUCAUUUUUUUGUGACCGAUUAAAGAAGCUGCUUGAUCUUAAGAUCAAGAAGGUCCUUAUGGAACAAAGGUUAGUUUAGUUUCUGUUAAUACAUAUAAAUAUGUUGCGACUCCACAAUAAAUAAUGUUCAUCACUAAAAAUCUUUGGGUAUAUAAGUGAAGUAAACAAAAACAUUUCACUGAACCAUAUCAAAACUAUAAAUAAAACAAAUAAAAAACUUCC